rnacentral:tRNA from 1 species
GAGGGUACAGUUCAGUGGUAGAGUGCCUGCUUAGGAGGUAGAAGGUCCUGGGUUCAAUCCCCAAUAUCUCCA